UACAGGGGGGGCAAGCGUUGUUCGGAAUUACUGGGCGUAAAGGGUUCGUAGGUGGCCAACUAAGUCAUACGUGAAAUCCCUCAGCUUAACUGGGGAACUGCGUCUGAUACUGGUUGGCUUGAGUGCAGGAGAGGAACGCGGAAUUCCAGGUGUAGCGGUGAAAUGCGUAGAUAUCUGGAGGAACACCGGUGGCGAAGGUGGCGUUCUGGACUGCAACUGACACUGAGGAACGAAAGCCAGGGGAGCAAACGGG
rnacentral:rRNA from 1 species